rnacentral:rRNA from 1 species
ACGGUACCGUAAGAAUAAGCACCGGCUAACUACGUGCCAGCAGCCGCGGUAAUACGUAGGGUGCAAGCGUUAAUCGGAAUUACUGGGCGUAAAGCGUGCGCAGGCGGUUAUGUAAGACAGAGGUGAAAUCCCCGGGCUCAACCUGGGAACUGCCUUUGUGACUGCAUAGCUGGAGUGCGGCAGAGGGGGAUGGAAUUCCGCGUGUAGCAGUGAAAUGCGUAGAUAUGCGGAGGAACACCGAUGGCGAAGGCAAUCCCCUGGGCCUGCACUGACGCUCAUGCACGAAAGCGUGGGGAGCAAACAGGAUUAGAUACCCUGGUAGUCCACGCCCUAAACGAUGUCAACUGGUUGUUGGGUCUUCACUGACUCAGUAACGAAGCUAACGCGUGAAGUUGACCGCCUGGGGAGUACGGCCGCAAGGUUAAAACUCAAAGGAAUUGACGGGGACCCGCACAAGCGGUGGAUGAUGUGGUUUAAUUCGAUGCAACGCGAAAAACCUUACCCACCUUUGACAUGUACGGAAUCCUUUAGAGAUAGAGGAGUGCUCGAAAG